AUUGAACGCUGGCGGCAGGCCUAACACAUGCAAGUCGAACGAGUGGCGGACGGGUGAGUAAUGUCUGGGAAACUGCCUGAUGGAGGGGGAUACCUACUGGAAACGGUAGCUAAUACCGCAUACCAUCAGAUGUGCCCCGAUGGGAUUAGCUAGUUGGUGUGGUAACGGCUCACCAGGGCGACGCUCCCUAGCUGGUCUGAGAGGAUGACCAGCCACACUGGAACUGGGACACGGUCCAGACUCCUACGGAAGGCAGAAGUGGGGAAUAUUGCACAAUGGGCGCAAGACUGAUGCAGCAAUGACGCGUGUAUGAAGAAGGCCUUGGGGUUGUAAAGUACUUGCAGCGGGGAGGCGUUACCCGAAGAAGAAGCACCGGCUAACUACGUGCCAGCAGCCGCGGUAAUAC
rnacentral:rRNA from 1 species